rnacentral:lncRNA from 1 species
CUCUUCUAGCAUUUGGAAGGAAGGAAAGAUUGUUUGUCAAUUUUGAUUAGAGACAAUCAUCAUAUAUGAAAGUCGCGCAGCGUUUGUUCUAUCUGUUAGGAAAUUCGUACCCCAACACCGAAAAAUACAUCAAGCACAACACAAAUAUAAAGUGCAAGAAAAUAAGAACACAAGAAUGGUCACCCAGUUCGGCCUUGAAGGCUUAAUCUGGGGGGCUCAGGUCAGCCCAAUCCACUAGUGCAAUUCUGCCUCACAGAGAGAGUGUACAGUACAUAGAACCAAGAUAGAAAACCAGAUCAAUCAUCGACCCUAAAACCGGAUCUCAAAUCUGGACAUAAACUCACAGCUUCCUCCCUAACCGGCUACAACUACAAAAACAAGACAGAUCACGCAUACAAGACCGUCCUCUAUUUACUAUAGUAUUUACAUUUAACCAGAAUCAUCCAAAUGGAGAAACAAUCUCCAGAUUCAAAGAGCCAAGAAAGGGAAAAGAAGAGUCGACCAACAGAGAGAGAAAAAAGGAGAUAUUAUCAAAACCGUAUGAAAUAAUAAUGCCACCCUUCCAGCUGGUUAUCAAAACUAAGGGCCAACUCUAGUUUAAUCUCCACCAUUCAUUUAAUCCAAUGGUCCACAUCCAACCAGAAGAAACACAGAUCCGGGUCAUAUCAAAUACACGAAUCAGGAGCUGCCACGUGAUAUCUACCAACUUAAAAUUCAGCAAAUGUCCAGAUUGCCCUCUCAUUAGUUGCUAAUUUGGAGAACCACAUUUUUUUUUUCUCCUUCAAUCUUCACCUUGGUUCUCAAAAUUGCACUCACUUUCUCAGUUGCUGAAUUGCACUAUUGUGGAAAGGCUGAACAACAUCAUUGCCUUAGGUACCUGCAAAGAAAAAUUACCCAGUAUCAAUGUUGAGAAGUGACAAACACAUUCUAAACUUACUCACAGGCAGAAUUUUUGUGCCCAUAUCAGAUAGGUUAAUGUCAGUAUGAAUUUUCUCUGACAUCAUUUCACCUAAAGAUAGUUUCUCUCUUAUGAAAUGAUACUUCACCUCAAUGUGCUUGGACCUUUCAUGAUAGACAGGGUUCUUGCUUAACAAUAAUGCACUCUGACUAUCAGUAAGAAUAACAGGUGAUGAAAAAAGAAAAUUCAGUUCACUUAAAAUUCCUUUCAGCCAUAUACAUUCUUUAACACAUUCAGUAAUUGCCACAUAUUCAGCUUCAGUACUAGAUAAAGUGACAAUUGGUUGAAGUUGAGACUUCCAUGUGAUACAGUUAUCACCAAGUGUAAAGAAAAAAGCUGUGGUAGAUUUUCUUUGAUCCUUAUCUCCAGCAAAAUCAGAAUCCACGUACCCUUUAAGGGUUAAUGGUUCUGAUCCCUUUUUGUACACUAAUCCUACACUUAGUGUCCCAGCUAUAUACCGUAAUAGCCAUUUUAAGCCAGCCCAAUGUGGUUUCCCCGAGUUUGCCAUAAACCUACUUAAAAAACUGAUUGAAUAUGCUAGAUCAGGUCGUGUUGUUAUAAUAGAAAACAUUACUGAUCCUAUUGCAUUGGAGUAAGGGAUAUUUUCCAUGUCUUUGGCCUCAGAUUCAGUUUUAGGACAUUGGGCUGAGGAGAGAUUCAUGUGAGCAGCAAGUGGAACAUUAACAGACUUAGCUUCUUUCAUGCCAAACUUAGAUAAAACUUUAUGUAGGUAAGACUCUUGGGUUAUUAUUAACCUGCCUUCUUGUCUAUUCCUAGUUAUCACCAUUCCCAGUAUUUUCUUGGCAUUCCCUAAGUCUUUCAUGUCAAAUUCAGAUUUUAGGAGGUUCUUCAUUCUUUUUAUUUUAGCUUUGCUUGAACUGGCCAGCAGCAUAUCAUCUACAUACAAGAGUAGAUAUAUCUUGCUGCCAGGUUUGAAGUUAUAGUAAUAUAAGCAAUGAUCAUACUCACUUCUCCUAAAACCAAUUUUCACAACAUAUGUGUCAAACCGAACAUACCACUGUCUUGGACUUUGUUUGAGUCCAUACAGUGAUUUCUGCAAUUUACAAACAUAAUCAGAUUUCUCCUUUUCCUCAAAACCUUGAGGUUUCUCCUUUUCCUCAAAACCUUGAGGUUGACACAUAUAGAUGUCCUCAUCCAAUUCCCCAUGCAAGAAAGCUGUUUUGACAUCUAAUUGUUCAAGUUCCCAAUUAAAUUGAACAACUAGAGCAAGUAUUAGCCUUAUUGUCUUAUAUUUGAUUACAGGUGAAAAAAUUUCAUUGUAAUCAAUUCACUCCCUUUGGGUGAACCCUUUGGCCACUAAUCUUGCCUUAUACCUUAAAGGGUCUGUUGGGGAAUUGCCUUCUUUAAGUUUAUAAAUCCACUUGCAUUGAACCACUCUCUGAUUUUUAGGUUUCUUCACAAGUUUCCAUGUUUUAUUAUCAAUCAGGGAUUUCAUUUCUUCCCUCAUGGCAUCUUUUCAAUUUUGAGAUUUAGAACAACUUAUAGCUUCAUCAUAAGUAUAAGGUUCAGCAUGUUCUAAGUUCUCACCAGUGAUAAGGGCAAAGUCUGUCAGAUUAUUAGUCUCAUAUCUUGGAUUGGGUUUAAUCUGUCUCCUUUCCCUAUCUCUCACUAAUUGAUAAUCUUGGGUACUAGUUUCAUUUUUAGGUGUCACAAUUUCAGUUUCAGUUUGGGCUGUUAUAACUUCACCUUCAUUUGUGUUGUCUGAUCUAACAUUUGGCUGUUCAUUUUCAGGUUCAGUUAUCUCAAUAGAAUUGUGACCCAAUCUUGCCAACUUCACCUCAUUCUGUGAAGUACUAUUUUCAAUUGCCUCAUGUUUAUCCCUUUUACUCUUUAAGCAUGGCAUCUCAGAUUCAUUAAACACCACAUUUCUACUGUUAAUGAUUUUAAUGCCUUUCUCACCUAGUACCCAUAACUUGUACCCUUUAACUCCUCCAGGGUACCCUAACAUGACACAUUUGGUGGCUCUAGGAUCUAACUUGCCUUCAACUUGAUGUGCAUAUGCAGCACAUCCGAAGACCCUAAUAUUAGACAGAUUUGGUGUUUUUUCAGUCCACAAUUCCUGAGAGGUCUUGAACUUUACAGAACUGCAUGGUGACCUAGUAAUUAGAUAGACUGCAGUGCAUAAAGCUUCUGCCCAAAAACCUUUUGCUAGACCAGAACUUAUUAGCAUGCAUCUAACUUUAUUUAUUAGAGUUCUGUUCAUUCUUUCAGCUACCCCAUUCUAUUGGGGAGUAUGCUUAACAGUUCUAUGCCUAAUAAUUCCCUUUUGACUGCAAAAGUUAUCAAAUUCUGCAUUACAGAAUUCCAACCCAUUAUCUGUCCUUAAGGUUUUUAAUUUUCUGCCCAAUUGAUU